CAACAAACACCCAUCAGUAGGUGUUGAAUUUCUUCUUGCUUGGUAUUCUCUUCUUCUUCUUCUUUCUGCUAAAUCUCUUCAAAAAGUUGAUCGAACCAAGCACAUGUUUCCAUGCAUCAAUCAUAGGAACUUUAAUCUCCAAUUUCUUGAAGAUCUCCAUGAAGUACUUGAACCUAUUUUCCUUCCUACGAUUUUUCUUCUUAUGAG
rnacentral:lncRNA from 1 species